AAUGAACGCUGGCGGCGUGCUUAACACAUGCAAGUCGAACGAGUAGACAGGAGCUUGCUCCUGGGUACUAGUGGCAGACGGGUGAGUAACGCGUGGGCAACCUACCUUGAAGUGUGGGAUACCCAGCCGAAAGGCUGGUUAAUACCACAUAAUAUCGCAACCUCUUAGGUGGAUGCGAUCAAAGUUGGGGAUCGGGGAAACCUGACCUGACGCUAUGAGAGGGGCUCGCGUCGGAUUAGCUUGUUGGUGGGGUAACGGCCUACCAAGGCAACGAUCCGUAGCCGACCUGAGAGGGUGAUCGGCCACACUGGAACUGAGACACGGUCCAG
rnacentral:rRNA from 1 species